CGCCGGGGCCAAUUGGGGUUCCCGAAGGACCAAUUGGGGUCAGAGGA
rnacentral:ncRNA from 1 species